GUCCCUUGCGCCGAUGGCGCACAAGAGGUUGAGUCCAACAACAGUCAACUUGAGAUUUUUUGUCAGUGGACCUGCUUUUUACCGAUCUUUAUUAGGUUCCUUCUCAUGUCUUGGAGACUGUAGAUGAUAAUACCAUACGGGUCUACGUUUAUGCCUCUAACACCUUUAGCGAAGCUUGCCCAAGAAUGGGUUGCAGUUCAUGGGAUUGGGGUAGACGAUGAAGGAACGGCGAACAAGGUUAGUGACGCACGC